GACGAACGCUGGCGGCGUGCUUAACACAUGCAAGUCGAACGGAAAGGCCCGGCUUUUGGGGGGGGCUCGAGUGGCGAACGGGUGAGUAACACGUGAGUAACCUGCCCUUGACUUUGGGAUAACUUCAGGAAACUGGGGCUAAUACCGGAUAGGAGCUCCUGCUGCAUGGUGGGGGUGGGAAAGUUUCGGCGGUUGGGGAUGGACUCGCGGCUUAUCAGCUUGUUGGUGGGGUAGUGGCUUACCAAGGCUUUGACGGGUAGCCGGCCUGAGAGGGUGACCGGCCACAUUGGGACUGAGAUACGGCCCAGACUCCUACGGGAGGCAGCAGUGGGGAAUAUUGCACAAUGGGCGGAAGCCUGAUGCAGCAACGCCGCGUGCGGGAUGACGGCCUUCGGGUUGUAAACCGCCUUCGCCUGUGACGAAGCGUGAGUGACGGUAAUGGGUAAAGAAGCACCGGCUAACUACGUG
rnacentral:rRNA from 1 species